rnacentral:rRNA from 2 species
UAAAGUCAAAUGACCUUUAGGCCGUUGCACGUAUUCUGAGAACAUGAAGCCCCAUUACGAAAGUAACUUUAUCACCUCCGACCCCACGAAAGCUAAGAAACAAACUGGGAUUAGAUACCCCACUAUGCUUAGCCCUAAACCUAGAUAUUUACUCUACAAAAAAUAUCCGCCAGGGAACUACGAGCGCUAGCUUAAAACCCAAAGGACUUGACGGUGUCUCAGACCCACCUAGAGGAGCCUGUUCUAGAACCGAUAAUCCACGUUUAACCUCACCACCCCUUGUUUUCCCCGCCUAUAUACCGCCGUCGCAAGCUUACCCUGUGAAGGACAAACAGUAAGCAGGAUGGGUAUGCCCCAGAACGUCAGGUCGAGGUGUAGCUUACGAGGUGGGAAGAAAUGGGCUACAUUUUCUGCAUCAGAAUAUACGAAUGGCAUUAUGAAACUUAAUGCCUGAAGGUGGAUUUAGUAGUAAAAAUCAAAUAGAGAGUCAUUUUGAAUUAGGCUCUGAGACGCGCACACACCGCCCGUCGCCC